rnacentral:rRNA from 1 species
GACGAACGCUGGCGGCGUGCUUAACACAUGCAAGUCGAACGAAGAGCGAUGGACGCUUGCUUCUAUCAAUCUUAGUGGCGAACGGGUGAGUAACGCGUAAUCAACCUGCCCUUCAGAGGGGGACAACAGUUGGAAACGACUGCUAAUACCGCAUACGAUCUAAUCUCGGCAUCGAGGAUAGAUGAAAGGUGGCCUCUACAUGUAAGCUAUCACUGAAGGAGGGGAUUGCGUCUGAUUAGCUAGUUGGAGGGGUAACGGCCCACCAAGGCGAUGAUCAGUAGCCGGUCUGAGAGGAUGAACGGCCACAUUGGGACUGAGACACGGCCCAGACUCCUACGGGAGGCAGCAGUGGGGAAUCUUCCGCAAGGGACGAAAGUCUGACGGAGCAACGCCGCGGGAGGGAGGACGGCCUUCGGGUUGUAAAGCUCUGUUAAUCGGGACGAAAGGCCUUCUUGCGAAUAGUGAGAAGGAUUGACGGUACCGGAAUAGAAAGCCACGGCUAACUACGUG